rnacentral:misc_RNA from 1 species
GCUUUUAUAAAACAUACUCUUACAUGAGGUUAAAAGAAUGUCACUGCCAGAAAAAAGAAUACACACAGUAGUAGAUUGCCAAAUAAGUGGAUUCUUCAAAGAAAAAAGAAAAUGUUAAUUUAUGUUUACAAGGUAGAAUCAAAGGCAACAGCUGUGUCUGGUAACCAAGUGUCGCCUUGUAUGAGAGACGGUACGGUAUACUGGGCCGCCUGGUCUGGGGUAAUGCUGGACUUAUAACCGGCCCAUUUGACCCUUUGGGUCACAGAUGCACCUGGGCCGGUGUUGGCAUACUCAGCAUAGAAAAUGGUGUUGGCUGGCUCCACACCCUUGACCCAUUCAAUCCAGCCAAGAGGAUGCAAGAAUGCACCAAUAGUGGACUGCAUGAUUACUGUUGUAGAGUAGUCCUUCCAGGGCCUGCCCAAGUAUGUUGGCGCUUUCAGAUCAUCCAAUGGUGAAAGAUCACACUUUUGAAUAGACAUGCCUGAGUUCUGAUUUGGAUCUUUUUUGCCUUGGGCCGUAAUGGUCACAAACUGAUUGGCUAAUGGUUGUCUCGGCUGGAUUUUACAACUUUGGAAAACAACCGCAGCGUUACCAAACAUGAAAUCGAUUGUACCUGUAAUGUCACAUUCUCGGUAAAAUUGACGGUUGGAGUGAGCAUAGAGGGUGUCCUGGAAGGCAUCAAACGAACAUCGAUAAAAUACAGAUUGAUCGGACCCCGAACGCAUGGCCACUGCCUGGUGCUUUGCCGCGCCAGCUGUGUUCCUGAAUGUUAUGUCUCUGGCAAUGAAGCCUCUACCAGCAACAGCAAAUGUGGCCGUCUCAAAAGUGGGAGUUCCAUCGAUGAAGUUCAAGCUUCCGGAAAUAAUGGUCUUAGUUUUGCCAUCGCCGUACAUCAUGACAUUCCAAAGCGACUUAUCCAUUCUCACUGUCUCCACAUAUUCACCUUCCUUCACAUGUAUCACGAAUCUCGUUUUGCUCUUUUUCGGCACCAUUUUCACUGCUUCUCCAAUAGUCGUAACAUUUCCUGAACCAUCACUCGCCACUGUCACGUCCGGGGUAGGAUUAACCUCCUGCAUUAGUCUCCGGUCACCUGCUGCCACCCAUUCCGGGAAUUCUCCAAUGUUCAACAAUUUCCGGUGAAUCGGAAUAUUGAAUUUACCUAGAAUCCCAAAAAUGUUAGCCACAAUAGCUAAACUGUUGCUGGUAAAUUCAGUCGAAUUUUUCAUUAACAGCUUAGCGUCGUUCACGAAUGUGGCAUUGAUUUCUUCGAGUGCAUCCAAGCAAGUCUCCUGAU